GACGAACGCUGGCGGCGUGCCUAAUACAUGCAAGUCGAACGCUGAAGGAGGAGCUUGCUUCUCUGGAUGAGUUGCGAACGGGUGAGUAACGCGUAGGUAACCUGCCUGGUAGCGGGGGAUAACUAUUGGAAACGAUAGCUAAUACCGCAUAAGAGUAGAUGUUGCAUGACAUUUGCUUAAAAGGUGCAAUUGCAUCACUACCAGAUGGACCUGCGUUGUAUUAGCUAGUUGGUGAGGUAACGGCUCACCAAGGCAACGAUGCAUAGCCGACCUGAGAGGGGGAUCGGCCACACUGGGACUGAGACACGGCCCAGACUCCUACGGGAGGCAGCAGGAGGGAAUCGUCGGCAAUGGACGGAAGUCUGACCGAGCAACGCCGCGGGAGUGAAGAAGGGUGUCGGAUCGUAAAGCUCGGUUGUAAGAGAAGAACGAGUGUGAGAGUGGAAAGUUCACACUGUGACGGUAUCUUACCAGAAAGGGACGGCUAACUACGUG
rnacentral:rRNA from 1 species